rnacentral:rRNA from 2 species
CAUGCAAGUCGAGCGGACGGAUGGGAGCUUGCUCCCAGACCGUCAGCGGCGGACGGGUGAGUAACACGUGGGCAACCUGCCUGUAAGACUGGGAUAACUCCGGGAAACCGGGGCUAAUACCGGAUAAUUCUUUCCCUCACAUGAGGGAAAGCUGAAAGAUGGCAUCUCGCUAUCACUUACAGAUGGGCCCGCGGCGCAUUAGCUAGUUGGUGAGGUAACGGCUCACCAAGGCCACGAUGCGUAGCCGACCUGAGAGGGUGAUCGGCCACACUGGGACUGAGACACGGCCCAGACUCCUACGGGAGGCAGCAGUAGGGAAUCUUCCGCAAUGGACGAAAGUCUGACGGAGCAACGCCGCGUGAGUGAUGAAGGUUUUCGGAUCGUAAAACUCUGUUGUCAGGGAAGAACAAGUACCGGAGUAACUGCCGGUACCUUGACGGUACCUGACCAGAAAGCCACGGCUAACUACGUGCCAGCAGCCGCGGUAAUACGUAGGUGGCAAGCGUUGUCCGGAAUUAUUGGGCGUAAAGCGCGCGCAGGCGGUUCCUUAAGUCUGAUGUGAAAGCCCCCGGCUCAACCGGGGAGGGUCAUUGGAAACUGGGGAACUUGAGUGCAGAAGAGAAGAGUGGAAUUCCACGUGUAGCGGUGAAAUGCGUAGAGAUGUGGAGGAACACCAGUGGUGAAGGCGACUCUUUGGUCUGUACUGACGCUGAGGCGCGAAGCGAGGGGAGCAACAGGAUUAGAUACCCUGGUAGUCCCC